CAGGUCCCUUCCAACUCCAGAAUUUUAAAAGGCUCAUGAUUUCAAGCCAGAAACUAUAUUAUGGGAUGGGGGGUGACAGCAUGGGCUCUCGCGAACACCUGCUCUAGCCACAUGCUGUGCUCCUCUGAAGUGGCCGUUCCAGGGAUUUCCACAUGUACCUGGGACGUGCCCAGCUUCAUGGCAGCCCUGCUCUCCCGGUCAGAAUGCGACCCCGAGCCCCCUGCCGUAGGCAUACAGGACGCGAGACAGACUCUCAGUGGCCCCCUGCAGGACGGCUGAGGCAAAGUGGGGAAUGAGACCUCCCCAGUCUGAGUUGUGUGUGAACAUGGCACUGCUGGUAUCUUUAUUUAAGUGGAGACUUAUGAAAUGGGACAUGGGGGUGUUAACUGGUGUCCUCUCUCCUCCAGGGUGCGGGAUGGGGAAUGGAAAGAGGGUUUUUCUCAUUGCAUGCCUGCACUGCUGAUUUAAAACAGAAGGGUUGUUUCAACAAGACCCAAGAACCAAGUUGAGUGGGUUGUCACUGACUAAAGAUGGACUAGUUUUUGCAUGAAUAAAGAUAACAGUUAUGAUAAAUUAAAACACAUCAAAUGUAUUUAAAGAAAUGAUUUCCUAAUGAUACUAAAAUAAAAAAGAAAGAAAAAUC